UACGUAGGCAGCAAGCGUUGUUCGGAAUUACUGGGCGUAAAGAGUGUGUAGGCGGUGCUCUAAGUUCGGUGUGAAAUCUCCCGGCUCAACUGGGAGGGUGCGCCGAAUACUGAGAGGCUAGAGUGUGGGAGAGGAAAGUGGAAUUCCUGGUGUAGCGGUGAAAUGCGUAGAUAUCAGGAGGAACACCGGUGGUGUAAACGGCUUUCUGGACCAUAACUGACG
rnacentral:rRNA from 1 species